UCAGAUUGAACGCUGGCGGCAGGCCUAACACAUGCAAGUCGAGCGGCAGCACGGGAAGCUUGCUUCCUGGUGGCGAGCGGCGGACGGGUGAGUAAUGCAUAGAAAUCUGCCCGGUAGUGGGGGAUAACCUGGGGAAACCCAGGCUAAUACCGCAUACGUCCUACGGGAGAAAGCAGGGGAUCUUCGGACCUUGCGCUAUCGGAUGAGUCUAUGUCGGAUUAGCUUGUUGGUGAGGUAAUGGCUCACCAAGGCGACGAUCCGUAGCUGGUCUGAGAGGAUGGUCAGCCACAUCGGGACUGAGACACGGCCCGAACUCCUACGGGAGGCAGCAGUGGGGAAUAUUGGACAAUGGGCGAAAGCCUGAUCCAGCCAUGCCGCGUGUGUGAAGAAGGCCUUCGGGUUGUAAAGCACUUUCAGUGGGGAAGAAGGCCUUGGGGCUAAUACCCUCGAGGAAGGACAUCACCCACAGAAGAAGCACCGGCUAACUCCGUGCCAGCAGCCGCGGUAAUACGGAGGGUGCAAGCGUUAAUCGGAAUUACUGGGCGUAAAGCGCGCGUAGGCGGUCUGAUAAGCCGGUUGUGAAAGCCCCGGGCUCAACCUGGGAACGGCAUCCGGAACUGUCAGGCUAGAGUGCAGGAGAGGAAGGUAGAAUUCCCGGUGUAG
rnacentral:rRNA from 1 species